rnacentral:rRNA from 1 species
UGCAGGGUAUAGACCCGAAACCCGGUGAUCUAGCCAUGGGCAGGUUGAAGGUUGGGUAACACUAACUGGAGGACCGAACCGACUAAUGUUGAAAAAUUAGCGGAUGACCUGUGGCUGGGGGUGAAAGGCCAAUCAAACCGGGAGAUAGCUGGUUCUCCCCGAAAGCUAUUUAGGUAGCGCCUCGUGAACUCAUCUCCGGGGGUAGAGCACUGUUUCGGCUAGGGGGCCAUCCCGGCUUACCAACCCGAUGCAAACUGCGAAUACCGGAGAAUGUUAUCACGGGAGACACACGGCGGGUGCUAACGUCCGUCGUGAAGAGGGAAACAACCCAGACCGCCAGCUAAGGUCCCAAAGUCAUGGUUAAGUGGGAAACGAUGUGGGAAGGCCCAGACAGCCAGGAUGUUGGCUUAGAAGCAGCCAUCAUUUAAAGAAAGCGUAAUAGCUCACUGGUCGAGUCGGCCUGCGCGGAAGAUGUAACGGGGCUAAACCAUGCACCGAAGCUGCGGCAGCGAACGUAUCACCCAAGACAACUUUACGGAGUUAACGAUUGACGGAGCGAAGCGACGUCAAAGCGUUCAUUAAAGUCGAGUUGGCUUAGGGAUACGUUCGUUGGGUAGGGGAGCGUUCUGUAAGCCUGUGAAGGUGGCCUGUGAGGGUUGCUGGAGGUAUCAGAAGUGCGAAUGCUGACAUAAGUAACGAUAAAGCGGGUGAAAAGCCCGCUCGCCGGAAGACCAAGGGUUCCUGUCCAACGUUAAUCGGGGCAGGGUGAGUCGACCCCUAAGGCGAGGCCGAAAGGCGUAGUCGAUGGGAAACGGGUUAAUAUUCCCGUACUUGGUGUUACUGCGAAGGGGGGACGGAGAAGGCUAUGUUGGCCGGGCGACGGUUGUCCCGGUUUAAGCGUGUAGGCUGGUUUUCCAGGCAAAUCCGGAAAAUCAAGGCUGAGGCGUGAUGACGAGGCACUACGGUGCUGAAGCAACAAAUGCCCUGCUUCCAGGAAAAGCCUCUAAGCAUCAGGUAACAUCAAAUCGUACCCCAAACCGACACAGGUGGUCAGGUAGAGAAUACCAAGGCGCUUGAGAGAACUCGGGUGAAGGAACUAGGCAAAAUGGUGCCGUAACUUCGGGAGAAGGCACGCUGACAUGUAGGUGAAGUGAUUUACUCAUGGAGCUGAAGUCAGUCGAAGAUACCAGCUGGCUGCAACUGUUUAUUAAAAACACAGCACUGUGCAAACACGAAAGUGGACGUAUACGGUGUGACGCCUGCCCGGUGCCGGAAGGUUAAUUGAUGGGGUCAGCGCAAGCGAAGCUCCUGAUCGAAGCCCCGGUAAACGGCGGCCGUAACUAUAACGGUCCUAAGGUAGCGAAAUUCCUUGUCGGGUAAGUUCCGACCUGCACGAAUGGCGUAAUGAUGGCCAGGCUGUCUCCACCCGAGACUCAGUGAAAUUGAACUCGCUGUGAAGAUGCAGUGUACCCGCGGCAAGACGGAAAGACCCCGUGAACCUUUACUAUAGCUUGACACUGAACAUUGAGCCUUGAUGUGUAGGAUAGGUGGGAGGCUUUGAAGUGUGGACGCCAGUCUGCAUGGAGCCGACCUUGAAAUACCACCCUUUAAUGUUUGAUGUUCUAACGUGGACCCGUAAUCCGGGUUGCGGACAGUGUCUGGUGGGUAGUUUGACUGGGGCGGUCUCCUCCUAAAGAGUAACGGAGGAGCACGAAGGUUGGCUAAUCCUGGUCGGACAUCAGGAGGUUAGUGCAAUGGCAUAAGCCAGCUUGACUGCGAGCGUGACGGCGCGAGCAGGUGCGAAAGCAGGUCAUAGUGAUCCGGUGGUUCUGAAUGGAAGGGCCAUCGCUCAACGGAUAAAAGGUACUCCGGGGAUAACAGGCUGAUACCGCCCAAGAGUUCAUAUCGACGGCGGUGUUUGGCACCUCGAUGUCGGCUCAUCACAUCCUGGGGCUGAAGUAGGUCCCAAGGGUAUGGCUGUUCGCCAUUUAAAGUGGUACGCGAGCUGGGUUUAGAACGUCGUGAGACAGUUCGGUCCCUAUCUGCCGUGGGCGCUGGAGAACUGAGGGGGGCUGCUCCUAGUACGAGAGGACCGGAGUGGACGCAUCACUGGUGUUCGGGUUGUCAUGCCAAUGGCACUGCCCGGUAGCUAAAUGCGGAAGAGAUAAGUGCUGAAAGCAUCUAAGCACGAAACUUGCCCCGA